GACGAACGCUGGCGGCGUGCCUAAUACAUGCCAGUUGAGCGCUGAAGGUUGGUACUUGUCCCAACUGGAUGAGCAGCGAACGGGUGAGUAACGCGUGGGGAAUCUGCCUUUGAGCGGGGGACAACAUUUGGAAACGAAUGCUAAUACCGCAUAAAAACUUUAAACACAAGUUUUAAGUUCGAAAGAUGCAAUUGCAUCACUCAAAGAUGAUCCCGCGUUGUAUUAGCUAGUUGGUGAGGUAAAGGCUCACCAAGGCGAUGAUACAUAGCCGACCUGAGAGGGUGAUCGGCCACAUUGGGACUGAGACACGGCCCAAACUCCUACGGGAGGCAGCAGUAGGGAAUCUUCGGCAAUGGACGAAAGUCUGACCGAGCAACGCCGCGUGAGUGAAGAAGGUUUUCGGAUCGUAAAACUCUGUUGGUAGAGAAGAACGUUGGUGAGAGUGGAAAGCUCAUCAAGUGACGGUAACUACCCAGAAAGGGACGGCUAACUACGUG
rnacentral:rRNA from 1 species